rnacentral:lncRNA from 1 species
GUAGGAUGUGAUGCAGGAGGCGCACUCAAAGAUGUAGACGAUGAGCAUGAGCACCAGGUACUGGGGAGAGAGGGAGGGAGAGACAGAGGGACAGCCCGGUCAGGGCAAAGCCUGUAUCAAGUCACACCCCUUCAAGGGACGGACUGAUGGAUAGAAAUGCAACUUUAUUUUAUUUUAUUUUAAUGCUUUUGUUUAUUUUUGAGAGAGAGAGAGAGAGACAGAGCAUGAGCAGGGCAGGGGCAGAGAGAGAAUUCUAAGCAAUUCACAGAAUUCUAAGCAGGCUCCAGGCUCUGAGCUGUCGGCCCAAAGUCCGACGUGGGGCUUGAACCCACAAACCAUGAGAUCAUGACCUGAGCCGAAGUCAGAUGCCCAAUCGACUGAGCCACCAAGGCGCCCCUAGAAAUGCAAUUUUAAAAAGAAGCGUAGGACAAUGUGAACGGUAGCAUCUACGUGGUGGGUGUACGUACGGGUGUUCCCCGUUCAAGUCUUUCACCUUUUCUGUGUUUUGAUUUCUGUAUUUUUUUAUAAUAAAAUGUUAGGAACAAAUGAAAGCAACAGAAAUAUGUAAAGUAUUUCCUGAAGCUAACUAAUGGCCUGGGUGCAGUAAAAUAAAUAUCUACCAUAGGAGAAAAAAAAAAAAAGACAUUCUUGAGACAACCAGGAACAUUUGGUUGUCUGUUUGUCUAGUCUGCGUUCAAACAGAUAUCGGAAGAGAGAUAUGAAAGAAUUUGGGUGGGUUUUGUAGGUGCACCAGUGGCAUGAUGGUUGUGCAUAAGAAGAAAAAAAGCUCUUCCCUCACCCCACGCCCUCUGCCUCAGAGCAACAGGGGGUGGAAAGUGGUCGUGCUAACCCCUCUGCCAUGAGCUGAGACGCUGCAGUAUAACACGUCUGACUGCUCGAAACAGUGUCCUCAUCACAGAGAAAUGUGCACUCAAAUAUUUAUGGGUAAAUGACUUGGUGUCUGCAAUGCACUUCAAAAUACCCCAGAAAGAAGAAUGUGGGCAGGCAGGGGUGGAGCAGAGGGGACAAAGCUGGCCAAGUCUAUGGUCGAUGUCGUUGAAACCAGGUGAUGGGGGUGCAGGGCUCAUGCCACUCACUCUGCUCUAUGUUUGAAAUUUCCCGUAAAUUUCCCAUAAAAUUCUAUGCCUUACGUGGAAAGAUGCUCAACGUCACUCAUCAUCAGGGAAAUACAAAUCAAAACCACACCAAGAUAUCACCUCACACCCAUCAGAGUGGCUAAAAUGAACGACUCAGGAAACAACAGAUGCUGGCGAGGAUGUGGUGAAACGGGAAUCCUCUCGCACUGUUGGUGGGAACGCAAACUGGUGCCGCCGCUCUGGAAAACUGUGUGGAGGUUCCUUGAAAAACUAAAAAUAGAACUACCCUAUGACCCAGCAGUAGCACUACUAGGAAUUUACCCAAAGGAUACAGGAGUACUGAUGCAUAGGCACUUGUACCCCGAUGUUUAUAGCAGCGCUUUCAACAAUAGCCAAGUCAUGGAAAGAGCCUAAAUGUCCAUCAACUGACGAAUCGAUCAAGAAGAUGUGGUUUAUACAUACAAUGGAAUACUACUUGGCAAUAAGAAAGAAUGAAAUCCUGCCGUUUGCAGCAACCUGGAUGGAACUGGAGGGUGUUCUGCUAAGUGACAUAAGUCAGGCAGAGAAAGAUAUCGUAUGUUUUCACUCAUAUGUGGAAUUUCAGAAACUUAACAGAAGACCAGAGGGAAGGGAAGGGGAAAAAUAGUUUCAAACAGAGAGGGAGGCAAACCAUAAGAGACUCUUAAAUACAGAGAACAAACUGAGGGUUGAAGGGGCAGGGGCGCGGCGGGGAGGGGAAAAUGGGUGAUGGGCAUUGAGGAGGGCACUUGUGGGGAUGAGCACUGGGUGUUGUAUGUAAGCGAUGGAUCACGGGAAUCUACCCCCAAAGCCAAGAGCACACUGUAUGCACUGUGUUAGCCAACUCGACAAUAAACUACAUUAAAAAAUAAAAAAUAAAUAAUGAAAGAUUGAGAAACAAAGCAACAUGUUAGUGACUGCUGAAUUUAGAAAGACUUGUGGGAGUUUACUGUUGCCACGAUUCUGUAAGUUGGAUAAUUUUUCAAAAUAAAAUGUUUAAAAAUGUUCUCCAGUCGGUAACCAAUGUUCAAUUUGCAAUAUUUGCAAUAAACUGUCAUGUGAAAAAAUGCCCAGUUAAAAAAAUAAAAAUAAAUAAAUAAAUAAAAUUAAAAUAAAAUAAAUAAAUAAAAUUAAAAUAAAAUAAAAUAAAUAAAUAAAAAUAAAAUUUUGUGUCUUAGUUAAUGACAAACUAAUAAGGGAGACAGCCACCUUUUUUUUUUUUUUUUCCACCAGUUGGGUGAGCUUUUAGGGCUUAGGUUAAAUGGUUAUGCCAGAGAAUUCCGUGCAGGAAAGAAAGAAAAAGAGAAGGAGAGCCUUUCCAAGGCUCCAUCUUACAAUAAGGCCCAGGUCCUUACCAAGGCUGGCAAGACUCACCCGAUAGGCCCACCUUCCCCUUCUCGCCCUCAUGCCCCUUGCCCACCGCCCACUGUACCCACUCCAUCCAACCUCAUUUCCUCUCCCUCCCCGCCACCCCCACUUGGCUCUGACUUCAGAGACUUUGCCCUUGCUGUUCCCUCCCCCACGCAUGCUCUUCCGCAUGCUCUUCCUGUAGACUCAAGGCUCACUCCCUCCCUCACCUCCCCAAGGCCUUCGUUUUCUCUGGCUUCAGGCCUCCCCUGCCCCAGCUCCGGCCCUCCCUUCCCUCUUCGCUGUGCACUGCUGCUCCGUUGGAGCAUCCUCCCCUGGGACAAGGGGUUCACCAGAGCCCCAGUGCCCAGCGCGGGGUUUGGCACGUGGUUCUUGCUCAAUAAACGUUUGUCGAUUGAAUAAGUAGCUGCUCCCGGGAAUCGAAAAGGCCCUGGAUUGUAGAGGAGGCACCACGUUGGCUCUGCAGCAGUGGGGCCGGGAUUAGAGGCCCUGCCUUCCCGAACGCCUGGGCUGUUGGCUUCUUUGAACCCCGGUUUCCUCAACUGGUAAAGGGGCCGAGAAGCAUAACUUCGGAGGCUUCUGGGGAGAUCGGCGGAGCUCAUUUUCUAAACUGCUCAGCCUAGUGCCGGGCACAUGAGGGGUGCUUGGGAAGUGUGGGUUCUUGUGGUGGUGGUUAUUCCCGGCAGAAAUUCAGAGCACAGGCUCGAGCUGAACUACUCGGGUUCAAAUCCCGGCUCUGUCACCCACUCGCUGUGCAACCCUGGAUAAGUGACUUCACUUCUCCGAGCCUCAGUUUCUACUCUGUCAAACGGGUUCACGAGGAGGAUGGUAUCUCAUGGUAGGUUGUGAGGAAUAAAUGAGCCAAUCUAUGUAAAACAUUUAGAAUAUAGCGAGCACUCCUUGAACGGUAGCUGUGCUGUCAUUACUGUUGUUGUUCACGAGCACAGACUCUGGGGACCAACUAGCUGAGGUUCGAAUCUCAGCCCUGCCACUCAAGAAUCAGCCUCCUGGGCAGAGCUCCCUUGCCUUCCUCUCUGUGCCCCAAUUUUCUUUGGAAAUUGAGGAUAACAGCUGAGCCUGUUACUGGGUUAGGGGAAGAUUAAAUAGGACGACAGGCCCAAGUGUGGCACCAUGAUGAACACACACUCGUGGCCGCGGCGGUGGUUGUUACGAUGGUUCCGUGUGGAUGAUCUCCGUGCCCACCCGUCCCCAUGCCCUGCCCCCAGGGCCUCACCGUGAGGAUCAUGGACCGGCGGCGGCAGAGCGCCGCGCCCACUCCAAAGCUGGCCACCACGAAGAAGGAGAAGCCGCAGAAGAUGGCGAUCCAGGCGCCAGCGAAGACGUCAUCCUUGCCUGAGACGCCCAUCAGUGGGUACACGCGGUACUGGUCAGCUGUCACCCAUACGGUCUCAGCAAACAGGGCCAGGCCUGACAGCUGGACAGGGCAACAGGUUAGAAAGGCUGGCUCAGGCGUGGCAGCCGGGGCUGCGGGACUCUCUGUGAACAAGUUCCCCUUCCGAGCCCCCACCGGCCUCGGUAAAGCGGGCUGUAAGAAGAAGGGCAAGGACCUCGCCUUCCAUGAGUGGGGAUGGGGCUGGGCAGAGGCCAGAAGGGAAGGGCUGCCCGGCCGGAUCCCUGCCCCCCGCCCACAUCCCAGCCGCCAGUUGCUUCAAGGUUACGAGGAGAUGCCACAGACACAGCCCAGAGCGCACGACUGGAACAGAGGAGAUGCUUGAUCACAUGCCCUCUCUCAAUAGUGUUGUUAUAAUCCCGAGCUGAGGAAUCUGGCCGGGCCCGGAACAACUACAAACG